rnacentral:rRNA from 1 species
AUUGAACGCUGGCGGCAGGCCUAACACAUGCAAGUCGAACGGUAACAGGAAGCAGCUUGCUGCUUUGCUGACGAGUGGCGGACGGGUGAGUAAUGUCUGGGAAACUGCCCGAUGGAGGGGGAUAACUACUGGAAACGGUAGCUAAUACCGCAUAACGUCGCAAGACCAAAGAGGGGGACCUUAGGGCCUCUUGCCAUCGGAUGUGCCCAGAUGGGAUUAGCUAGUAGGUGGGGUAACGGCUCACCUAGGCGACGAUCCCUAGCUGGUCUGAGAGGAUGACCAGCCACACUGGAACUGAGACACGGUCCAGACUCCUACGGGAGGCAGCAGUGGGGAAUAUUGCACGAUGGGCGCAAGCCUGAUGCAGCCAUGCCGCGUGUAUGAAGAAGGCCUUCGGGUUGUAAAGUACUUUCAGCGGGGAGGAAGGGAGUAAAGUUAAUACCUUUGCUCAUUGACGUUACCCGCAGAAGAAGCACCGGCUAACUCCGUG